rnacentral:rRNA from 1 species
AAUCCAUAGGUUAAUGAGGCGAACCGGGGGAACUGAAACAUCUAAGUACCCCGAGGAAAAGAAAUCAACCGAGAUUCCCCCAGUAGCGGCGAGCGAACGGGGAGGAGCCCAGAGCCUGAAUCAGCAUGUGUGUUAGUGGAAGCGUCUGGAAAGGCGCGCGAUACAGGGUGACAGCCCCGUACACAAAAGCGCAUGUGCUGUGAGCUCGAUGAGUAGGGCGGGACACGUGGUAUCCUGUCUGAAUAUGGGGGGACCAUCCUCCAAGGCUAAAUACUCCUGACUGACCGAUAGUGAACCAGUACCGUGAGGGAAAGGCGAAAAGAACCCCGGCGAGGGGAGUGAAAAAGAACCUGAAACCGUGUACGUACAAGCAGUGGGAGCACAGGUUUACCUGUGUGACUGCGUACCUUUUGUAUAAUGGGUCAGCGACUUAUAUUCUGUAGCAAGGUUAACCGAAUAGGGGAGCCGGAGGGAAACCGAGUCUUAAUUGGGCGUUAAGUUGCAGGGUAUAGACCCGAAACCCGGUGAUCUAGCCAUGGGCAGGUUGAAGGUUGGGUAACACUAACUGGAGGACCGAACCGACUAAUGUUGAAAAAUUAGCGGAUGACCUGUGGCUGGGGGUGAAAGGCCAAUCAAACCGGGAGAUAGCUGGUUCUCCCCGAAAGCUAUUU